rnacentral:rRNA from 1 species
GACGAACGCUGGCGGCGUGCUUAACACAUGCAAGUCGAACGGAAAGGCCCUGCUUUUGUGGGGUGCUCGAGUGGCGAACGGGUGAGUAACACGUGAGUAACCUGCCCUUGACUUUGGGAUAACUUCAGGAAACUGGGGCAAAUACCGGAUAGGAGCUCCCGCUGCAUGGUGGGGGUUGGAAAGUUUCGGCGGUUUGGGAUGGACUCGCGGCUUAUCAGCUUGUUGGUGGGGUAGUGGCUUACCAAGGCUUUGACGGGUAGCCGGCCUGAGAGGGUGACCGGCCACAUUGGGCCUGAGGUACGGCCCAGACUCCUACGGGAGGCAGCAGUGGGGAAUAUUGCACAAUGGGCGGAAGCCUGAUGCAGCAACGCCGCGUGCGGGAUGACGGCCUUCGGGUUGUAAACCGCUUUCGCCUGUGACGAAGCGUGAGUGACGGUAAUGGGUAAAGAAGCACCGGCUAACUACGUG